AUCUAUGUCCCUGCCACCCUGAACGCACCCAAUCUCAUCUGAUCUUAGAAGCUAAGCAGGGUCGGGCUUGGUUAGUACUUGGAUGGGAAAAAUUUAUUCUCACAGUUU
rnacentral:rRNA from 1 species